rnacentral:misc_RNA from 1 species
UUUCCGUAGGUGAACCUGCGGAAGGAUCAUUAUUGAAUAAACCUGGUGUGGUUGUAGCUGGCCCUUUCGGGAGCAUGUGCACACCCGUCGUCUUUAUCUUUCCACCUGUGCACCUUUUGUAGACCUGGAUGUAACACUUUCCGAGGCAACUCGGCCGGGAGGAAUGCUGUCAGCUUUCCUUGAAUGUCCAGGCCUAUGUUUUCAUAUACCCCAAAGAAUGUAACAGAAUGUAUUAUUGGGCCUUGUGCCUAUAAACUAUAUACAACUUUCAGCAACGGAUCUCUUGGCUCUC